CGCCGCCACGCGGUCACGUGAUUCAUAGAGCUCUCCAAACAAACCAGCGUUGACAAUACAUUAGAAUGGAUAGACGACAGCGUCAUUAUACAGUUAAACUUCAAUUCCCAUCAUGCCAAUCGCAGGAUCACGAGGACAACGAUGCUCGAACAUACAAAGCAGCAGGUAAACAAGUCUGGUCGAGCUGCUGUAGUGAUGCUCAGUAACGGCGAUUUCAAAGCGUUUCGCACAUUGCAGGAUGACGGGGGUUUCAUAACCAAGACGCAAAGCAACAGUGCUCUUCAGUCGCAAGGUGCGUGUACGCGCUCACAAAUGGGACAUUUUGGAGCACAGCUGAGAGCUUCAAAACUGCGUCUGUACACUUCAUAGUGCUUAAUGCGAUGGGACCCAUCCUGCAGGAACGAACUGCGUCUGCGACACUGAGGAAGGUGCCAGGCAAGGAGAAGGUUAGAAUGAAAAAUGCAGAAAACACUGGAAUUGUUGCCAGGUAUGCUUGAAUGGAGCAAAUGAUUAAAAUCACACAGAAAUAACAAAUGU
rnacentral:lncRNA from 1 species